rnacentral:rRNA from 1 species
UACGGGGGGGGCAAGCGUUGUUCGGAAUUACUGGGCGUAAAGGGCCCGUAGGCGGCCAACUAAGUCAUACGUGAAAUCCCUCGGCUUAACCGGGGAACUGCGUCUGAUACUGGAUGGCUUGAGUUCGGGAGAGGGAUGCGGAAUUCCAGGUGUAGCGGUGAAAUGCGUAGAUAUCGGGAGGAACACCAGUGGCGAAAGCGGCCACCUGGACUGCACCUGACGCUGACACGCGAAAGCUAGGGGAGCGAACGGG